UACAGCCACAUCACAUUGGAAUACUGGUUCCUGUAUGAUCGCUGAAGUUAAGCCUGGUCAGUACCUUGAUGGGUGACCAUUUGGGAAUACCAGGUGCUGUAA